GCGUCAGUAGUGCAACGGGUUAGAGCACGCUCUCCUGGAUAGAGUGAUGGGUGCAGGUUCGAGUCCCCCUUAACGCG